ACCGGCAGCCAUAUCACCCUGUAGCCCAAGACUGGUUGCCCACUGAAGCUAAGCAGGGCUGAGCCUGGUCAGUACCUGGAUGGGAGACCUCCUGGGAAAACUGGGUUGCUUGCU
rnacentral:rRNA from 1 species